rnacentral:misc_RNA from 1 species
GAUGAAGAACGUAGCGAAAUGCGAUAAGUAAUGUGAAUUGCAGAAUUCAGUGAAUCAUCGAAUCUUUGAACGCACAUUGCGCCCCUUGGUAUUCCGAGGGGCAUGCCUAUUCGAGCGUCAUUAUCACCCCUCAAGCCUAGCUUGGUGUUGAGGCCUGCUGUCAAGGCAGCCUCUAAAAUCAGUGGCAGUGCUGUCAGGCUCUAAGCGUAGUAAAUCUAAUCGCUAUAGACACCUGGUGGACACUCGCCAGAACCCCCCCAUUUUUUAAUGAUUGACCUCGGAUCAGGUAGGAAUACCCGCUGAACUUAAGCAUAUCAAUAAGCGGAGGA